AAAUUGAAGAGUUUGAUCAUGGCUCAGAUUGAACGCUGGCGGCAGGCCUAACACAUGCAAGUCGAACGGUAACAGGAAGAAGCU
rnacentral:rRNA from 1 species